rnacentral:rRNA from 1 species
AACGAACGUUAGCGGCGCGCCUAACACAUGCAAGUCGCACGAGAAAGGGCUUCGGCCCCAGUAAAGUGGCGCACGGGUGAGUAACACGUGGGUAAUCUGCCUUCGAGCGGGGGAUAACAUUCCGAAAGGAGUGCUAAUACCGCAUAAGACCACGGCUCCGAAAGGAGCAGCGGUCAAAGCUGGCCUCUAUACAUAAGCUAGCACUUGAGGACGAGCCCGCGGCGCAUCAGCUAGUUGGUGAGGUAAUGGCUCACCAAGGCGAAGACGCGUAGCUGGUCUGAGAGGAUGAUCAGCCACACUGGAACUGAGACACGGUCCAGACUCCUACGGGAGGCAGCAGUGGGGAAUCUUGCGCAAUGGGCGAAAGCCUGACGCAGCCACGCCGCGUGAGUGAUGAAGGCCUUCGGGUCGUAAAGCUCUGUGGGGAGCGACGAAAAAACGCUGGCUAACAUCCAGCGGACUGACGGUAGCUCCUUAGCAAGCACCGGCUAACUCUGUGCCAGCAGCCGCAGUAAGAC